GAUGAACGCUGGCGGCGUGCCUAAUACAUGCAAGUCGAGCGAACAGACGAGGAGCUUGCUCCUCUGACGUUAGCGGCGGACGGGUGAGUAACACGUGGAUAACCUACCUAUAAGACUGGGAUAACUUCGGGAAACCGGAGCUAAUACCGGAUAAUAUAUUGAACCGCAUGGUUCAAUAGUGAAAGACGGUUUUGCUGUCACUUAUAGAUGGAUCCGCGCCGCAUUAGCUAGUUGGUAAGGUAACGGCUUACCAAGGCAACGAUGCGUAGCCGACCUGAGAGGGUGAUCGGCCACACUGGAACUGAGACACGGUCCAGACUCCUGCGGGAGGCAGCAGUAGGGAAUCUUCCGCAAUGGGCGAGAGCCUGACAGAGCAACGCCGCGUGAGUGAUGAAGGUCUUCGGAUCGUAAAACUCUGUUAUUAGGGGAGAACAAAUGUGUAAGUAACUAUGCACGUCUUGACGGUACCUGAUCAGAAAGCCACGGCUAACUACGUG
rnacentral:rRNA from 1 species